UACGGAAGGCAGCAGUGGGGAAUAUUGCACAAUGGGCGCAAGCCUGAUGCAGCCAUGCCGCGUGUAUGAAGAAGGCCUUCGGGUUGUAAAGUACUUUCAGUCGUGAGGAAGGUGUUAAGGUUAAUAACCUUAGCAAUUGACGUUAGCGACAGAAGAAGCACCGGCUAACUCCGUGCCAGCAGCCGCGGUAAUACGGAGGGUGCGAGCGUUAAUCGGAAUUACUGGGCGUAAAGGGCACGCAGGCGGUUAAUUAAGUUGGAUGUGAAAUCCCCGGGCUUAACCUGGGAAUGGCAUUCAAGACUGGUUAGCUAGAGUCUUGUAGAGGGGGUAGAAUUCCAUGUGUAGCGGUGAAAUGCGUAGAGAUGUGGAGGAAUACCGGUGGCGAAGGCGGCCCCUGGACAAAGAACUGACGCUCAUGUGCGAAAGCGUGGGGAGCAAACAGGAUUAGAUACC
rnacentral:rRNA from 1 species